rnacentral:rRNA from 1 species
AUUGAACGCUGGCGGCAUGCUUUACACAUGCAAGUCGAACGGUAACAGGCCGCAAGGUGCUGACGAGUGGCGAACGGGUGAGUAAUGCAUCGGAACGUGCCCAGUCGUGGGGGAUAACUACUCGAAAGAGUAGCUAAUACCGCAUACGAUCUAUGGAUGAAAGCGGGGGACCGUAAGGCCUCGCGCGAUUGGAGCGGCCGAUGUCAGAUUAGGUAGUUGGUGGGGUAAAGGCUCACCAAGCCAACGAUCUGUAGCUGGUCUGAGAGGACGACCAGCCACACUGGGACUGAGACACGGCCCAGACUCCUACGGGAGGCAGCAGUGGGGAAUUUUGGACAAUGGGCGCAAGCCUGAUCCAGCAAUGCCGCGUGCAGGAAGAAGACCUUCGGGUUGUAAACUGCUUUUGUACGGAACGAAACGGCUCUGGUUAAUACCCGGGGCUAAUGACGGUACCGUAAGAAUAAGCACCGGCUAACUACGUG